CUUUUAAGUCGCUGUCAAUCAAAGCAACCGAGAAAAACGCAGUUUGAAUUCUUGAAACUUUCAUACGUCACAGUAGCUAGCUAACCCGGAUGUAGCUGUAGAGGCUGGAGAAGAUAAUAUAACAUCCCAAGUAGGCCGGUGGUGACUGCGAACAGCGGCGGGCCGCGACGAGUAUACUCAAAAAAAUGAUUCAAGCCCCUCUUAAAGGUGACACAUUUAGAUUUAAUCCAUUUUACUCAAAUUUAGUAGUUCAUCAGAAAAUUAUUUAUAUCUCAUUCAUGUUAACUAAAGUUAUUUAAUAGCAAAGAGCCUCUGAUCCAUUAACUCAAAAAUAUUAAGUUUUAUUUUGUCCGCCUCCCCGUGCGCAUGCGCAUAUGUGUCAACGCUGUCUCCCUUCCUCCAUGUCUCCUUCCCGCACUAUCAGAAGCUGCACGUCGGACUUCGGGUUUGAAAAUAGAACUAAUUCCUGAGUGAUCAUCACUGUAACCAGGAGUUAUCUGUGGCAACCUCCUUGUAAUAGUUGAUGUCUGGACAUGCAAGGCAUGCAGUUUGGAGUCAUCUAGCAGGUAUUUGUUAUUCAAGUAUUAUAGAGAGACUCAUGGGCAUUUA